GUGCUCAUUUCGGCAGCACAUAUACUAAAACUGGAAUGGUACAGAGAUUAGCAUGGCCCCUGUGCAAGAAAGACAGGCAACUUCAGGAAGAAAGGUUCCUGAGCCACUGUCUU
rnacentral:snRNA from 1 species